GUGAUGAAAUUCAGCAUUUUCUUCUGAAGCUUCCAGUCUUCAUCAAUGUAAAAAGCAGUCAAGCACAUAUACCGUGCAUUUUCCGAUGAAUCCCAAACAUCAGCAGAAAGACUAAUUCUUCCAUGCAAGUUAUGGAUCGCUUCAUACAUCUUCUGUUUCUCUUUUGCAUAAAUAGUCAUACAAUCUAGUUCAACAGCACUAUUAGUCAAAACCUCAAAUUGUGGCUGUAAAUUCUUGACAAAUAUUUUGAAUCCAAUAUGGUCAACCAUAGCUAAAGGAUAACCAUGCAACAUAAUCAUACGGGCAAGAUCCAAACGGCUCCGCUCUUGAUCAAAUCUAACACUGCCAAGGUUGAUAGGCACGUUAACUUCCUCUUUCUUUACCUCUGGAUCAAACUUAAAGGCUGACACAGGACUAAUAGUUUCUUCUUUCCUUUGUCCUUCUUCAUAGGUGACAACUGCAAGAGUAGGGUCUUUUUUCUUUCUCUUCGCUGCAAGUAUUUGGGUAACAUCAUAGUUGGAUCUUUUUAGACACCGCAACAAAUGAUUCCUCAGAUGAG
rnacentral:misc_RNA from 1 species